AUACAAUAUUCUCAUUAUGACCAACAAUGAUAUCAAGUGUGCUUCAUGGAAGACAAACAACAUUCUCAGAUCGAAUGCUUUGUAGAACCUAAACAACACCCAAAGCCAAAAAUCAAAUCAUGCAUCUUGUAGCCAGAUCAACAGUGUGUUCCCCAUUCCUGUCAAGUUGCAAGACAAACGUAAUGGUCAUUGUGCCAUUUGCAAACAUCAAUCAACUUUGAAUUUAAACAACGUUCAAACACCAGCUAAUUAAAAACAAAUUUGACAUCAAUUUCAACUCAUUAAUCCAUUCAAGUAUUUCUCCACUAACCCCUUUAUACCUUGGGGUGUGCUAGAUAGCCGGUGAACCUAGAGGGCCUCGAAAUGCUCCCAUGUCGUCGUUUGGUGCUGUGCCGCUAUGAUUUGCUUGUGGUCGCAACGUGGUUUGGUGAUGGUCCUUCUGCUGCGUCAACAAUCACUUCACAAAGAUCCUCCACAUA
rnacentral:lncRNA from 1 species